GGCCUGAUGGUCUAGUAGUAUGAUUCCUUCUUAGGGUGCUAGCUCUGGUACCGCAAUUUGGAGGAGGUCCCGGGUUCAAUUCCCGGUUAGGCCC